rnacentral:rRNA from 1 species
UACAGAGGUCCCGAGCGUUGUUCGGAUUCACUGGGCGUAAAGGGUGCGUAGGCGGCGCGGUAAGUCGGGUGUGAAAUUUCGAGGCUUAACUUCGAAACUGCAUUCGAUACUGCCGUGCUUGAGGACUGGAGAGGAGACUGGAAUUUACGGUGUAGCGGUGAAAUGCGCAGAUAUCAGGAGGAACACCGGUGGCGAAGGCGGGUCUCUGGGCCGAUAUUGACGCUGAGGAGCGAAAGCGUGGGGAGCGAGCAGG